GGGCUUGUGGUUUAGUGGUGUAAGUUCACACUUUGAAUGGGAGGGGUCCGGGGUUCGAUUCCCCGCGAGUCCA